AAUGUUGAUGAGAAUUUUAAAAAUUUGCCUGUUUAAAGUAUCGCUCAGAGAAAAUUUCCUUUCAGAAAAAGUGCUUUACUUAAUAAUCUUGCUUUCUAUGCUUUCUGGUAGAAAAGGUAUUCAUAUAAAAAAAAAUAAACAUUGUUAUAAAACCAAUACAUUCCUCGUUCCACUCAGAAUCUAAAAUAUUCAAGAUUAAAACACUUUAAACUAUCAGAUUUUUAAACAAUAAUAUUUUUUGUUAUGUUUAUAAUUUUGAAAAAAUAACGACAGUGUAAUUGUCUACUACAAAAAAUCGAUUCAGUGGCGUAAUG